UUUGUCGAGAUCAUAGUUUCGCGUCAAAGAUAGAGUGGCUGCGACGCGCGGAGGUGCAUCAUGGCGGCGGUCGACAUCAGAGAUAAUCUGCUGGGAAUUUCCUGGGUUGAUAGUUCAUGGAUUCCAAUAUUAAACAGUGGGAGUGUAUUGGACUAUUUCUCAGAGCGCAGUAAUCCAUUCUAUGAUCGAACAUGCAACAAUGAAAUGGUCAAAAUGCAAAGGCUAACCUUGGACCACUUGAAUCAAAUGGUUGGAGUAGAAUAUAUUCUCCUCCAUGCACAAGAGCCAAUCCUCUUCAUCAUCCGUAAGCAGCAAAGACAGAACCCAACACAAGUUAUCCCAUUGGCUGAUUAUUACAUUAUUGCUGGAGUAAUUUAUCAGGCACCUGACUUGGGGUCAGUUGUAAACUCAAGAGUGCUCACUGCAGUACAUGGAAUCCAAUCAGCUUUUGAGGAAGCUAUGUCUUAUUGUCGCUAUCACCCUUCCAAAGGUUAUUGGUGGCAUUUCAAAGAUCAAGAGGAACGAGAUAAAGCCAAACCAAAAACAAAGAAGAAGGAGGAACCAAGCUCUAUUUUUCAGAGGCAACGUGUGGAUGCAUUACUUCUAGAUUUGAGAAAAAAAUUUCCCCCUAAGUUUGUGCAGCAAAAAUCUGGAGAAAAACCAGUCCCAGUGGAUCAGAUUAAGAAAGAAUCAGAGCCAGCACCUGAAGCUAUAAAACAAGAGGAGAAGGAAGCUGCAAAGACGACACAACAGAGCACUACUACUAAAGGGCCACCAGAGAAACGAAUGAGAUUACAAUGACAGAAGGGACAAUGACAUUCAUAACUAGUGAGGACUUGGUGAAGAAACAGAGUUUAUUCUUUGAACAGCUUAUGCAUGGGUGUGGGAAAAAAUGCCCAUGAUUUUGAUCGGCACCCUCAUCAGCAACAUCAUCCCCAUCUAAUCAACGAUCGAUAGAAAGCAUGCUAGGUUUGGAGAAGUCAAGCUCUAUGCAGAAUAUGCAAACGAUGUUACAAUCGAUCCAAGAAGCCAUGACUAAAAUUCAGGAAGCCAUGUCCAAAAACCAUGAUGAGAUUAAAAGCGAAAUAGGGGAGAUGAAAGGGGGAUAUACGUAAGAUGGAUGAAAAGAUAGGGAACAUCCAGCAAAUGAUAACAAAGAAUGAGCAGAGGAUACAGAAAGUAGAAGUAAGGGCUGAACAAACGGGGGUAAAAUUGGAAGAAAUGGAUCAAAAACUAUCCUUGGCUAACAGAGAAUUAGAAGAGACAAUAAUUUUUCUGGAAAUGGAAAAGGCAGCUUUCUAUCUGAGAUUUCAGAACAUUAUUGAAGAGAAAGAAGAAGACCUGGUUGAGGUGAUGAUAGACUUGCUGGGGGAAGUAUUACAGAAAGAUAAGCAUGACGUAUAAAGAGACAUAGACGAAGUAUUCAGAAUCCACACAAACUAUGCAAGAAGGCACAGAUUAUCGAAAGAGGUGCACGUGAGGUUCACUAAAAAGGCAUUGAGAGAUGAAGUAUACAAAAGAAUGAGAGAUGAACCCAUGAAGUAUAAAGGGAGAAAAAUCCAGAUGUUAAAACAGAGGAGAGUCAGAGAACAGAGGAGAAAGUAUCAAUUUUUGACCGCAAAAUUGAUUAAAUGUAACAUGAAGUUCAGAUGUUUGAUACCAGAAGGAAUUCUGAUCUCCUGGCAAGAUAAAAAAUUUAGGGUGGAUACCUUAGAUAAAGCACACAAAUUUUUUAAACACCAUUUUACAACAAAUGAAGAUCAGGAAAGUAGAGAGGAGAUAGAAAGUAAAAGUCAAGAUGAAUUGCCAACAGAAGAAAAAGCUUUUUCUAAAGCUUUUUCUUUAGAACAAGAAGAAAGAGUGAGCGUGGAAAAUGAGCAGGUGGAACAUAAGCAGGUGGAAUGAGAAGGUGCAAGCACAAAAGGACUGAGAGAGACAAGAACAACUAGAAGGGCAAGACCUAUAUACAAGUGAAAAGAUGGAUGAGGAAGUCAAGAUACUAUCUGUUAACAUAAAUGGAUUGAACUCCCCCGCAAAAAAAGGGCAAAUCUUUACAAAACUACAAAGAUUAAAAUUAGAUAUAAUUUGCCUUCAAGAAGUACACAUCAAAAAACAACAUGGCAACCUAACAGCUCUAGCAUAUCAAAAGAAGAGAGGGAUAGCACUAUAUAUUAGAGAAUCGUUAAAAUCUAAACAAAUAUACACAGAUGAAGAAGGCUUAGCUUCUCUCAAUUACUGUAAUUUUUUUUUUAAUACAGGAUGAGGUUUCAUAUGUACAGAAUAUUAUGUGAUAGCUAUUCUCUGGUAGUUUCAGUACACUAGGAGGAACAUCUUUCUCAACUCCCUACAGAGAAAAAUCCUGUAAAAUAAUUGUCAAUAAAAUAAUUUUAUAAUCUGUUUGUAAAUAUUUAUUUGUUUUGAAGAGGGAAUGGAGACAAGAAUAUUUUUAAAGGGUUUUUAAUCUUUCUCCUUGGUUUUUCACAGUACAUGGUUUGCUUUCCCUUUUUUUUUUAUUCUAAAAAUGUUUUGUCCGUUUGUACUUCUUUCCAGUCUACUUUUAUAUUAUUCCACUGAAAAAUAAAACAUUUUAAAUACUGUUUACAAAUUCACA